UUUAUUCUAUCCAUGCCAUUUCAUUGCAUGAAUAUGAUAAAGAGGGGCAUCUGUAGACACUCAAAUUGUUUUUGUACACCUGUCACUAACAUUACAGGAUGGCAGAUUCGUCUUUCAGAGAUAACCCUGGGAGAUGACGCAGUUCAAAUACUAGAAAUUCCACCGCUGAGGACAAUUCUAUCUCGGAGAUAACCCUGAAAUGCUCAGUUCCAGUCCCGGAAACAACACCGAGAAUAGCAGUGCUAACCUUAGAGACAACCCCAAGGAAUACAGUUGCAGUUCCAGAGAUAACCAUAAAAAUGCUUGUUUCAAAUGCAUGUAAUCAAUUUGAACCUUCGCACUCACACCGAGGCACUCAGUACAAGACCUGCAAAUAACACCGGGAAGACAUGCACACCUCUGAGAUGACACUGAGAACCUUCAACACUUGCAGCAGUCCAAUCUCAGAGAUAACCCUGAGCAACGUCUGUUUAAUAGCCCAAAUCGGAGAUAACCCCAGUGAGGGGGCAAAGCCGUCAUCCUGCCACCUUGACCCCACAUCGCGCCAUCUCAACAUCUCAUACAUACAUUUCUACACAACAUUUUCCUACAAGAACUAAGGAUGUCCCAUCCCGAGUGACUAUUACGUAGGGGAACAGAUAGAAUUUGAAGCUGAAAGACCGGAGGGCAUGGUCUCAUCUUCCUGACUUUAUACAACCUCUAAUCCCAUGUCAUUGCAUAACUCUCGAUAACGGCAGUCCAAAAUAGGUCUUAUUUACCUCAGUCGGAUUCCCAUAUUGCAAUUCUGAAAGUUCGAGCGAACAUCACCAUAUAUGUAUGCAUGUACUUCGAGACGGCGAGACCCACUGAGCUUGGGGCACCCCGGGCAGCCGCAGAUACACCUGUGGCUCCCCCUCUAUAAAUAGAGGGCUUGGGGUGGCCAUUUUAUAAUAGAAAAAGGCGAGGAAGCCCUGUCAAAUUUGCUCUGUACACACCCUAAAUUGAGUGCUUUCUCAUUUUAAACACUUGUGAGCUCACAUAUAGCUACUAUUUUUACCGGCGGGAGCCGAGUGUUCAUCUACCUAAAGUUAUAGAAGUCUUCUUUGACAGUCCACUAUAAGCCUUCUUACAUACCUUAAAGCCUUUCUCUUAAUCUUUG
rnacentral:lncRNA from 1 species